CUCCAGCUCCCAAAGGUAGAGAGCAAUAAAUAAAAUUAUGUGAGUGUGUGCAAGAAUGUGUAAAUGUGUGUGUGUCUGUCAGUGUGUGUGUUUGUGUCUUUCAGUGUGUGUGACUGUCAGAGAGUGUGUGUCAGUCAGUGUGUGUUGGUCAGUGUUGCGAUGGCCGUGGCUGGACAGUGGAGGACCUGGAGGUGCACAAAGGCACGCAACACCACGUCAUAUUCUGAUGUGACGUCAACGUGCUUCACCUUCACAGGUUUUCAAGGAGUACCGGCACCAUUGGGGGUAUAGCAGAGGCUGGGCUCCGGUGUUGCAUGCUGGCAGCGGAAAUGUGAGUGGAGUCUGCUUAUUGGCUAAUAUUGUUUUUUGUUUUUUUUAAACAAG